rnacentral:lncRNA from 1 species
CAAAUUUCCACUGGUGCUGCUGUGCGAGGUUCUGAGUUCCCUGCAUCCACGCUGUCACAUGUUCGGUUCCGCUUUCCCUGGUGGCUUCUACGGAUCCAUCGUCAGCCUCCUACCCCUUCUCAGCCAGAGACAGAGCAAAGGCUCAGACUGGAGAUUUCCAGUGGUGGCGGUGGUGUAACUUCUUCUAGCUCCCUGUGGCUACAGGGAAAUUACAUGCAUAAUCCCAAGAGCAAUCAUCGUAAAAAAGAAUGACG